rnacentral:tmRNA from 1 species
GGGGGCGUACUGGUUUCGACAGGGGUAGUUAUGGUAUGGGUAGCGAGCCGGGGUUCCAUCAGCCCGUCAACACGGUGGACCUAAAGUAAAAGCAAACAACGAAUACGCUUUAGCAGCUUAAUGCUAACGUUCUACCUACGCACUCCCGCGGCCUAGGAUAGGACGUCACUUAGUGGGAUACCUGAGGCUCAAUUCUCGGAGAGCCGACUGGAAAACUUUAUCGAGAUAGUGCUUGAGCAGCCUGUCUGUGGGCGGCAAAAGCGCAAAAUUUAAAUCACCGACUGCGCUCGGAGAAGCCUAUGCAGUAAUGCUUUUGGACAGGAGUUCGAUUCUCCUCGCCUCCACCA